AAGGAUUUAAGUUAAUCAAACUAAGAACCUUCAAAGUUCUAAAUAAAGACUGUUCCUCUUUAAGCCUUA
rnacentral:tRNA from 1 species